GAUGAACGCUGGCGGCGUGCCUAAUACAUGCAAGUCGAGCGAACAGACGAGGAGCUUGCUCCUCUGACGUUAGCGGCGGACGGGUGAGUAACACGUGGAUAACCUACCUAUAAGACUGGGAUAACUUCGGGAAACCGGAGCUAAUACCGGAUAAUAUAUUGAACCGCAUGGUUCAAUAGUGAAAGACGGUUUUGCUGUCACUUAUAGAUGGAUCCGCGCCGCAUUAGCUAGUUGGUAAGGUAACGGCUUACCAAGGCAACGAUGCGUAGCCGACCUGAGAGGGUGAUCGGCCACACUGGAACUGAGACACGGUCAAGACUCCUACGGGAGGCAGCAGUAGGGAAUCUUCCGCAAUGGGCGAAAGCUUGACGGAGCAACGCCGCGUGAGUGAUGAAGGUCUUCGGAUCGUAAAACUCUGUUAUUAGGGAAGAACAAAUGUGUAAGUAACUAUGCACGUCUUGACGGUACCUAAUCAGAAAGCCACGGCUAACUACGUG
rnacentral:rRNA from 1 species